AGUUUGNUCNUGGCUCAGGACGAACGCUGGCGGCGUGCUUAACACAUGCAAGUCGAACGAUGAAGCCCUUCGGGGUGGAUUAGUGGCGAACGGGUGAGUAACACGUGGGCAAUCUGCCCUUCACUCUGGGACAAGCCCUGGAAACGGGGUCUAAUACCGGAUAACACUCUGUCCUGCAUGGGACGGGGUUAAAAGCUCCGGCGGUGAAGGAUGAGCCCGCGGCCUAUCAGCUUGUUGGUGGGGUAAUGGCCUACCAAGGCGACGACGGGUAGCCGGCCUGAGAGGGCGACCGGCCACACUGGGACUGAGACACGGCCCAGACUCCUACGGGAGGCAGCAGUGGGGAAUAUUGCACAAUGGGCGAAAGCCUGAUGCAGCGACGCCGCGUGAGGGAUGACGGCCUUCGGGUUGUAAACCUCUUUCAGCAG
rnacentral:rRNA from 1 species